rnacentral:misc_RNA from 1 species
GAUGAAGAACGCAGCGAAAUGCGAUAGGUAAUGUGAAUUGCAGAAUUCAGUGAAUCAUCGAGUCUUUGAACGCACAUUGCGCCCCCUGGUAUUCCGGGGGGCAUGCCUGUCCGAGCGUCAUUGCUGCCCUCAAGCACGGCUUGUGUGUUGGGCCUCCGUCCUCCUCCCGGGGGACGGGCCCGAAAGGCAGCGGCGGCACCGCGUCCGGUCCUCGAGCGUAUGGGGCUUCGUCACCCGCUCUUGUAGGCCCGGCCGGCGCUUGCCGACACAUCAAUCUUUUUUCCAGGUUGACCUCGGAUCAGGUAGGGAUACCCGCUGAACUUAAGCAUAUCAAUAAGCGGAGG